GAUGAACGCUGGCGGCGUGCCUAAUACAUGCAAGUCGAGCGAACAGACGAGGAGCUUGCUCCUCUGACGUUAGCGGCGGACGGGUGAGUCACACGUGGAUAACCUACCUAUAAGACUGGGAUAACUUCGGGAAACCGGAGCUAAUACCGGAUAAUAUAUUGAACCGCAUGGUUCAAUAGUGAAAGACGGUUUUGCUGUCACUUAUAGAUGGAUCCGCGCCGCAUUAGCUAGUUGGUAAGGUAACGGCUUACCAAGGCAACGAGGCGUAGCCGACCUGAGAGAGUGGACGGCCAGACUGGAAAUGAGACACGGUACAGACACCGAGGGGAGGCAGCGGUAGGGAAUCUUACGCAAUGGGGGAAAGCCGGACGGAGGAAAGCCGCGUGAGUGAUGAAGGUGUUCGGAUCGUAGAACUCUGUUAUUAGGGAAGAACAAAUGUGUAAGUAACUAUGCACGUAUUGACGGUACCUAAUCAGAAAGCCACGGCUAACUACGUG
rnacentral:rRNA from 1 species